UCUAACCCUAGUUCCCAAAUCCCCCUCACUCCAGGCGAAGCCGACUGCGCCGGCGGCGGUCCCAUCCUGUACCAGUCCGUCUCCAUCCUGUGCCGCCGUGUAUCGAGAGAGACGAUAUACCUUCACUCUUCCCCUCUCUCGUGCGGCGACAAUGGAGGCCUAGCGACUGUAGCUACAUGCCUACAUCUCGCCAAGACAUUCUUGGGACGGCGCCACAAAAUCGCAAGUAUAAUACUACGGGACAGCCCACACGACAACACCAACAACGUUCAAGGAGCUACAUCUACACUGCAUCAGAAAACGAGAUGGAGACAUCGCUGGCUCAGAGGACAUGAACAUCAACUGAUAAAUAGUGUAGAACCUGCUCGUGUUGUGGGUUCCUGAACUUUCUGAAGCAGCUUGAUUUUGCUAUGUGUGGGCCUGGCCGCAUGGAAGGAAUAUGAUUGCACUUGUUACUUUCAUAGAAAGAAAAUAGAUGUUGUGAUUCCAGGAGUGUGGUACGUAAUUCAUCGGACAACUUCGUAGAACUGUUCUUCCAAAUGGAGGGGACUAGUGCAACCUCACCAUCACCAAUCCUUGCAUGCCCCGCCAAUCCGUGUACUGUACCAACUAUCUCAGAAUCAGUCAGUAGCUUGGGAAUGACAGAAUUAGGUGAUGCCAACUCUUUUUCAGAGAUUAGUUCCAGGAUGCUUCCUCUUAGUGAAUUCUCUACACCCAAGAAGAGACAAUGUUUUUCUCAAGAUGGUUCAUUGCAUAUACCAGUGUGCGACGAGUCAAUGAAACCAACAGUAGGCAUGAGAUUUGAUGACAUUGCGUCUGUAGAGACAUUUUACAAGAACUAUGCACACCACGUGGGAUUUGGUGUCCGUCUUGGGCCACAAAGGAUGGUGAACAAUGUAGUUCACUGGAAACGUUUCUUAUGCACAAGGGAGG